GUAGGUGACGACCAAUAUUUUUUUUUACUUUGACUUGAUGUCUAUUGAAAAAAUCUAGCAUCUGAGG
ensembl:snoRNA